UACGUAGGGUGCAAGCGUUAAUCGGAAUUACUGGGCGUAAAGCGUGCGCAGGCGGUUUUGUAAGUCAGAUGUGAAAAUCCCCGGGCUUAACCCUGGGAACUGCGUUUGAAACUACAAGGCUAGAGUGUGACAGAGGGGGUGGAAUUCCACGUGUAGCAGUGAAAUGCGUAGAGAUGUGGAGGAACACCGAUGGCGAAGGCAGCCCCCUGGGGUUAACACUGACGCUCAGGCACGAAAGCGUGGGGAGCAAACAGG
rnacentral:rRNA from 1 species